rnacentral:tRNA from 1 species
CAAGAAAUAGUUUUAUUUAAAAUAUUAAUUUUGGGAAUUAACGAUAAAGAAGUUUCUUUUUUCUUGA